GAGAGUGGGUAGUCCGCACGAGCGCACCUCGUCAAUAGUUGCCAGCAGGUUAAGCUGGGCACUUUAUUGAGACUGCCUUCGCAAGAAGGAGGAAGGUGAGGACGACGUCAAGUCAUCAUGGCCCUUAUGGCUUGGGCUACACACGUGCUACAAUGGGGCGUACAGAGAGUUGCGAUACCGUGAGGUGGAGCCAAUCUCAUAAAGCGUCUCUCAGUUCGGAUUGAAGUCUGCAACUCGACUUCAUGAAGCUGGAAUCACUAGUAAUCGUAGAUCAGCAAUGCUACGGUGAAUACGUUCCCGGGUCUUGUACUCACCGCCCGUCACACCAUGGGAGUUGAUUUCACCCGAAAUUGGGAAGCUAACCUUCGGGAGGCUACCACUUACGGUGGAAUUAGCGACUGGGGUGAAGUCGUAACAAGGUAACCGUAGGAGAACCUGCGGUUGGAUCACCUCCUUUCU
rnacentral:rRNA from 1 species